AUUGCCUUGUGGUGGGCUCGGUGCUCAAGAUGACAAGCUGGACUCCUUAAUAACUGGCGAGCAAGUCUGCCUGUUCCAGCACCCUCAUUUUCAGGGCUCCAAGGCUGAGAAGCCAAACAUCCAGCGCAUGAUUGAUGCCAAUAAGAAAUGGCUGGAGAGUUUCAAGCAUGAUUGCAAAAGCCCUUUCUUGGCGAGUGCUUCACAUUCCUCCAGCAGUGGCUCCGGUUUGGUGCAGCUUGGGUUGGAUGAGAACAAUCAGAUCAAGGUCUACCACUUCUAGAUGGACAAAAAUCCUGCUUGUCUGCAAAAAGCUUACCCACCUGUCUAACAACAAUAUAUAUUAUAUCUCUGUACCCAACAGCCUCCACAUGUUUUCUUGGGUUGCAAUCAGAGAUUGAUUCUUAGCCAGAUUUCUCUUGGGAAAUUAAUUCCAGCCAUUUUGUAGAUUCUCCAUCCCAGGGAAUGUCACAAGUGUGAAAGAAAAAGAAGUUGUGUGCUGAAUGGAGAAAGGUGGCUGGUAGGUUACCUGUCCAUAUUUAGGGAGCCAGAGAAACAAAGGGCCCACCUGAAACACAUGAGUCUUCUCCUAUCUCUUGCUCAGCUUCCUCUUUCUACUGUCACCUUCCACACCACAGAAUCCCCAGUUCAGGUAUGGCUGCUGAGGGUGCUGGCAGUGUGUUUCUGCUCCUGCAGCAACUGAGAAUAUGAACUACAAAAUCAGUCUUUGCAGAGACUAAAGCAGGUCAUGAGCAAGUCCAAUUCUCCAGGUGCUUCUGAAUUCUGGCAGUUCAUUUCUACCCCUGGUUUCUGCCCUUUUCUUAAGGGCUUGUGUACCUGACCUCACUGGUGGCGUAUUCAUUGGGCAUAUUCUUCAAUGCUCUCAGCAACACCAGAAGGCAAACCGAGAUUUGGGGGAAAUGAGAGCAGGCAAUAGCCCAAUGUACUCUUCCUUGCAAAUGGUUAGUAUAUCCUUUGAUUAAGCUGCCAGAAGAAAGCUAAAUUUCUCUCCCACCUCCAUUUUCAACUGGACCCUUCUCUCUGGGGUUGCUUUUUAAACAAUGAUCACCAGGCGUCUAAACAGGCAGCAAAAUUCUCCCCACCCCCCC
rnacentral:lncRNA from 1 species